rnacentral:misc_RNA from 1 species
UUUCAGGUUGCCGGUCAGCUGAAAUACAUUCGCGCUUUGGGGGCUGCUUUCCUUUCAGGAAAGGCGAGUUCCGACUUGGUAGGUGACUUUCGCCGGUUACAUGCCUUCGUUGCCCGCUAAGCUUCCCAGCAUGCGGUGUGCAGGACGCUAUACCUUUGGCUUUCGACCUGAGGUCAGGCAAGAACACCCGCUGAACUUAA